GUGAUAUCCGGGAGACAGACGGCGGGUGCUAACGUCCGUCGUCAAGAGGGAAACAACCCAGACCGCCAGCUAAGGCCCCAAAUUCCUAGUUAAGUGGGAAACGAUGUGGGAAGGCACAGACAGCUAGGAGGUUGGCUUAGAAGCAGCCAUCCUUUAAAGAAAGCGUAAUAGCUCACUAGUCGAGUCGGCCUGCGCGGAAGAUGUAACGGGGCUCAAACUAGGAGCCGAAGCUGCGGAUUUAAUUGUUUCAAUUAAGUGGUAGGGGAGCAUUGUGUAAGCCUGUGAAGGUGUGUUGUAAAGCAUGCUGGAGGUAUCACAAGAGCGAAUGCUGACGUGAGUAACGACAAUGCGAGUGAAAAGCUCGCACGCCGGAAGA
rnacentral:rRNA from 1 species